AUUGAACGCUGGCGGCAGGCCUAACACAUGCAAGUCGAACGGUAACAGAAAGCAGCUUGCUGCUUUGCUGACGAGUGGCGGACGGGUGAGUCAUGUCUGGGAAACUUCCUGAUGGAGGGGGAUAACUACUGGAAACGGUAGCUAAUACCGCAUAACGUCGCAAGACCAAAGAGGGGGACCUUCUGGCCUCUUGCCAUCGGAUGUGCCCAGAUGGGAUUAGCUAGUAGGUGGGGUAACGGCUCACCUAGGCGACGAUCCCUAGCUGGUCUGAGAGGAUGACCAGCCACACUGGAACUGAGACACGGUCCAGACUCCUACGGGAGGCAGCAGUGGGGAAUAUUGCACAAAGGGCGCAAGCCUGAUGCAGCCAUGCCGCGUGUAUGAAGAAGGCCUUCGGGUUGUAAAGUACUUUCAGCGGGGAGGAAGGGAGUAAAGUUAAUACCUUUGCUCAUUGACGUUACCCGCAGAAGAAGCACCGGCUAACUCCGUG
rnacentral:rRNA from 1 species